rnacentral:lncRNA from 1 species
AUCCUUUUAUCUGCCUGGGGAAGCAGGAGCAGUGGUGUGGGCUGGAGGUGGCGGGGGUCUGUAGCUAUGCUCACCCCUGUGUGAUCUACACCUUGAUUUUGUCUUCACUCUGUCUCUCUAGUGUAUGCACACAAGCAGGAACCCCCCCAGUAUUCCCACACCUCCCGGUUUCCAUCGGCAAUGGUGGUCACAGAUACCAGCAGCAUCAGUACGCUCACCAACAUGUCUUCCAGUAAACAGUGUCCUCUCCAAGCCUGGUGAUGCCCACACAUCACUUACUUUGUGCACAGCAACAAGGACCCUAUUUUCCACACCAUCACCCUCCAGGCAGCUGUCGCGGAAAAGCGCAGUGACCUGACAAGCAGCACCUGCGAGAGGUCCCUGCUCACCUGACGUCCUGCCAGCGCCUCGGACAAUCCGCUCUGAGAGGCGCGGCCCGGAGCCCAGCUUCCCUUCUAUGCAGUAUUGUCACGAUGCCUCUCCCAAGACGUCAAGCUCUCCCGUCUGGUCUGUCCUAAAGGCGGGAGAUGAGAAACCGAGGAAGAGGAAGAGAGAAAGCCGGAGCGUCUACAUUAUGCUCCUUCAUCGAACAAACUGAUGUGAAGACUUGAAUCUGUUACUGACAUGAGGCGAGGAGGACGCGUGCUAUUGAACUGAGCCAAACGCACUGUAAACGUCAGCCCCCCCCCCCCCCGCUCCCGGCUGAUCUGGAGAUUCUUUUAAAGAAGUAAAUUUGUCCAAUGGAUGUAAACUAUAAACUACUGUAAUUAAGUGCAAUUUCCCCUCUACUUCCUCUCCCCUCUGCCCUGUGUAUAAUACUAAAGUGUCUAUCCGUUUUCUUCGUAAAGGUCAGAGUUGAAUUUUCAAAGUGAUUUGCCCCCUCUGUCUUCCCCCACGGAGAAAUAUCUAAGGUGGAAGUGAAGCCCCUGCCCCCUUCCUCGGGCCUGGGCACACACAGGGACUGUGUAUUUUGGACUGUCUGCUAGCUCACUCCAAUCUCCUGAUGUUAAGACACACCUCUGGAUCCCUGGAAGGGCUGAGCAUAGUGUCAGAGUAACGUCCUCGCUUCCGGUGGGGUUGGGGGAUCAGCCAGUACCUCCCCAGGAAACCCCAAGACAGGGACACUGGCUGUUUGAUAGCACAAAGAAAAGUUGCCCUUUCCAAAAACCUCCCAUUAAAACAAUUUAUUUUGUCACUGCCCAGAGUCUCAUAUUUCUGUCUGUCUCUGACUCUUCCCCUGCCACGGUUC